rnacentral:rRNA from 1 species
UACGUAGGGGGCUAGCGUUGUCCGGAAUCAUUGGGCGUAAAGAGCGUGUAGGCGGUCCGGUAAGUCCGCUGUGAAAGUCGGGGGCUCAACCCUCGAAUGCUGGUGGAUACUGUCGGGCUAGAGUGCGGAAGAGGCGAGUGGAAUUCCUGGUGUAGCGGUGAAAUGCGCAGAUAUCAGGAGGAACACCUAUUGCGAAGGCAGCUCGCUGGGACGUAACUGACGCUGAGACGCGAAAGCGUGGGGAGCAAACAGG